rnacentral:rRNA from 1 species
GACGAACGCUGGCGGCGUGCUUAACACAUGCAAGUCGAACGGAAAGGCCUCUUUCGGGGGGUACUCGAGUGGCGAACGGGUGAGUAACACGUGAGUAACCUGCCCUUGACUUUGGGAUAAUUUCAGGAAACUGGGGCUAAUACCGGAUAGGAGCUCCUGCUGCAUGGUGGGGGUUGGAAAGUUUCGGCGGUUGGGGAUGGACUCGCGGCUUAUCAGCUUGUUGGUGGGGUAGUGGCUUACCAAGGCUUUGACGGGUAGCCGGCCUGAGAGGGUGACCGGCCACAUUGGGACUGAGAUACGGCCCAGACUCCUACGGGAGGCAGCAGUGGGGAAUAUUGCACAAUGGGUGGAAGCCUGAUGCAGCAACGCCGUGGGCGGGAUGACGGCCUUCGGGUUGUAAACCGCUUUCGCUCAUGACGAAGCUUUGUGUGACGGUAGUGGGUAAAGAAGCACCGGCUAACUACGUG